rnacentral:rRNA from 1 species
GCGACUGCGGAGGUCAUUA